CUGCGCCCGAGGGUGGCCUUCUCCGGCGGAUCAGCACGCCGGCCCCCGGUAUCCCUGCAGCCUGGCUCCGGCUAGGAGGCGGGGACGGCGAUCCAUCCGGAGAAAACCAACUCCAACCCUGGGAGACGAUCGUUUUCCGGCACAGACUCCAAUGCCCGGGACACGGUGGGUGCCAGGGUACCUGGUCGGUCUCGGCUUCCCGAGUGGCUGCGUCGCCCCCAGCAACCCUGGACGCAGUCAGGCCGCAAGAAAACGGACGAAGAACCGGGAAGCCUAGCCUCUGGCCAAUUAUUUACCCAGUCUCCCAACACGAGCUCCCCGAGCUCUCAGAGAUUUGUUCGCAGACCCCCGCUGGCUUCCGGCGGUGGAACCCGGCGCGCCGGACACUCCCGAGGUCUCCUUAGGACACCGCAUACCGCGAGGGACAAAGACCCGCGCCGCGCCCGGGGAGCACCCCCCUUUCUCGGGCCCCUUCUGGUCCAAACACAACAAGACCGGUGUGGGAGCCCCAAGUUGCACGGGAUUGUCGGGCGGGGGGCGGUGGAAUAAAAGCCCUUCCCUUCCUGGCUCUGCAAAAUCGAUGGGGUUGGUGUGGCUUUUGAAGAGCGGGGAGUGUGCUAGCAAUCCACCUGCUGGGCGAACAGCCCAAGGCCGGGCCUUCCCGGGAGAGGGGACCGGACGCCCCACCAGGAAGCUUCCCCUAGCCUCCACCCCGCUAAACCCCGCACGAGAACUCCUGCUUCCCCCGGGUCUUUCCGUAUUAGAAACCAUCUAGAAAUCAAUCUCUCUUGAUUUAUGGGGCCCGCCUCGCGGCGGCAGGAGCCUCCAGAAGUAGCCCCAGAGUUGAUUUAAACCGGGAAGUCUAUUUCUCAGGCAUCCACAUGUGUUUGUACACACACACCCAAUAAGAAACCUGACUUUUUACUUUACAAUGUGCGAAUACAAUAUAGCUGGAAGCUCUCACGGCGAGGCCCAUUUAUGUGGCCGUAUUGUGUUUAAUGUGGGAGCCCCCGCCGCUGCCAGCCCUCCCUGGGGGCUUCACCAGCAUCUCCCCCAGAACCUCGGCGGAGAACUUCAGACCUUGAUUCCCGAGCUCUAGAGGCAGGAAGAGUCAGAGCGCCCCC
rnacentral:lncRNA from 1 species